rnacentral:rRNA from 1 species
UUUAGAGUUUGAUUCCUGGCUCAGGAUGAACGCUGGCGGCGUGCUUAACACAUGCAAGUCGAACGGACCCUUUCGGGGGUUAGUGGCGGACGGGUGAGUAACGCGUGAGGAUCUGCCCUUAGGAUGGGGACAACGACUGGAAACGGUCGCUAAUACCCAAUGUGCCGAGAGGUGAAAACUUUAGUGCCUGAGGAUGAACUCGCGUCUGAUUAGCUAGUUGGUAGGGUAAAGGCCUACCAAGGCGACGAUCAGUAGCUGGUCUGAGAGGAUGAUCAGCCACACUGGGACUGAGACACGGCCCAGACUCCUACGGGAGGCAGCAGUGGGGAAUUUUCCGCAAUGGGCGAAAGCCUGACGGAGCAACGCCGCGUGAGGGAAGAAUGUCUGUGGAUUGUAAACCUCUUUUCUCAGGGAAGAAUGAAUGACGGACCUGAGGAAUAAGCUCGGCA